rnacentral:ncRNA from 1 species
GUGUUUCACAGAAAGGAGGGAAGCUAGGCACUCCCCUUGAUAAAGGUGGAAGAAGCCCUGCAGCUUGUAUAACAUGCAUAUGACACAUCCAGAUGUACCCAAAGCACCACACAUGAAUUCAUUAGGCUUCUUU